UACAGAGGGUGCGAGCGUUGUCCGGAAUCACUGGGCGUAAAGGGCGCGUAGGUGGCGGCCCAAGUCCGUGGUGAAAGCUCGCCGCUUAACGGCGAGUCGGCCACGGAGACUGGGUGGCUCGAGCACUGUAGGGGCAGAUGGAAUUCCGGGUGUAGCGGUGGAAUGCGUAGAGAUCCGGAAGAACACCAGUGGCGAAGGCGGUCUGCUGGGCAGUUGCUGACACUGAGGGACGAAAGCUAGGGGAGCGAAAGGG
rnacentral:rRNA from 1 species